UACGGAGGAUCCGAGCGUUAUCCGGAUUUAUUGGGUUUAAAGGGUGCGUAGGCGGCUUAUUAAGUCAGGGGUGAAAGACGGUAGCUUAACUAUCGCAGUGCCUUUGAUACUGAUGAGCUUGAAUGUAGUUGAGGUAGGCGGAAUGUGACAAGUAGCGGUGAAAUGCAUAGAUAUGUCACAGAACACCAAUUGCGAAGGCAGCUUACUAUGGUGCGAUUGACGCUGAGGCACGAAAGCGUGGGGAUCAAACAGG
rnacentral:rRNA from 1 species